UUGAAUUGAAGAGUUUGAUCAUGGCUCAGAUUGAACGCUGGCGGCAGGCUUAACACAUGCAAGUCGAACGGUAACAUGAAG
rnacentral:rRNA from 1 species